CGUCACUGGCUAAAAAUCACCUUGGAAGGCAUAAACUCUCAGGUACUUCCCAAGCAAAGCAGCUCUGGAGUCUAAGGUCAAGGCUCAGAAGAGGAGUUGCAGGUGCAGAUCUUUGCAGAUAGAAGCACGCCGAAGCCUGAAGAGGGGUAUGCAGAAAUGGUCAAAGGAUCCAAGUGAAUCUGGGUGGAGGACCAGCAGUGCCCAUUAAGAAUCCUCUAGGAGAAAGGAGAGCAUGUAUAGUGGAAGAAGAACAAGAGGGUCAUGAUGUUGAGAAAUGGUACAGGUGCUCAUUAAAUGAUUCUACUUUUCUGUAUGUUUGCAGAUUUCCAUA
rnacentral:lncRNA from 10 species